GAGGUUAUAGCUCAUUGGUAGAGUGCCUGCUUAACAUGUACAAGGUCCUGGGUUCAAUCCCCAGUACCUCCA
rnacentral:tRNA from 1 species